rnacentral:rRNA from 1 species
GAUGAACGCUAGCGGCAGGCCUAAUACAUGCAAGUCGAACGAGAUUGAGGAGCUUGCUCCUCAUGAAAGUGGCGCACGGGUGCGUAACGCGUAUGCAAUCUACCUUAAUCAGGGGGAUAGCCCGGAGAAAUCCGGAUUAAUACCGCAUAACAUUAUUGAAUGGCAUCAUUUAAUAAUCAAACAUUUAUGGGAUUAAGAUGAGCAUGCGUGACAUUAGUUAGUUGGUAAGGUAACGGCUUACCAAGACUACGAUGUCUAGGGGAUCUGAGAGGAUGACCCCCACCACUGGUACUGAGACACGGACCAGACUCCUACGGGAGGCAGCAGUAAGGAAUAUUGGUCAAUGGGCGCAAGCCUGAACCAGCCAUGCCGCGUGCAGGAAGACGGCCCUACGGGUUGUAAACUGCUUUUAUUCGGGAAUAGACCUCUUUACGUGUAAAAGAGCUGAAUGUACCGAAGGAAUAAGGAUCGGCUAACUCCGUGCCAGCAGCCGCGGUAAUACGGAGGAUCCAAGCGUUAUCCGGAUUUAUUGGGUUUAAAAGGGUGCGUAGGCGGCUUAUUAAGUCAGGGGUGAAAGACGGUGGCUCAACCAUCGCAGUGCCUUUGAUACUGAUGAGCUUGAAUACACUUGAGGUAGGCGGAAUGUGACAAGUAGCGGUGAAAUGCAUAGAUAUGUCACAGAACACCAAUCGCGAAGGCAGCUUACUAAA